UACGUAGGUGGCAAGCGUUGUCCGGAUUUACUGGGCGUAAAGGGCGCGUAGGCGGCCACCGCAAGUCAAUUGUGAAAUCUCCGGGCUUAACUCGGAAAGGUCAACUGAUACUGCGGGGCUAGAGUGCGGAAGGGGCAACUGGAAUUCUCGGUGUAGCGGUGAAAUUCGUAGAUAUCGGGAGGAACACCUGUGGCGAAGGCGGCCACCUGGACGACAACUGACGCUGAGACGCGAAAGCGUGGGUAGCAAACAGG
rnacentral:rRNA from 1 species